rnacentral:rRNA from 1 species
UACGAAGGGGGCUAGCGUUGUUCGGAUUUACUGGGCGUAAAGCGCACGUAGGCGGAUCGAUCAGUCAGGGGUGAAAUCCCAGGGCUCAACCCUGGAACUGCCUUUGAUACUGUCGAUCUGGAGUAUGGAAGAGGUGAGUGGAAUUCCGAGUGUAGAGGUGAAAUUCGUAGAUAUUGGGAAGAACACCGGUGGCGAAGGCGGCGCUCUGGACCGAGACUGACGCUGAGGCGCGAAAGCGUGGGGAGCAAACAGG